rnacentral:lncRNA from 13 species
UGCUACAUAUAUCUGUGCUAGGGGAAACUUCACCCAAAGCCACUUUCUUAACACUGUUCCGUCCAACGUCACAUUACAGCAGACAUGGACCACAUGAUCAACUGGAAGGCGUUGGACAAUGUCCCUCUGCUCUUCUACAUCCUGGCAUUGAAGACCCUGGUCUUGUGCCUGGGCUUCGCUGGAGUGAAGAUAUAUCAGGCUAAGAAGGAAGAGGCCAAGCUGAAGAUACAGAGGGCAGAGCAGAGGAGGAUAGCGGAGCAGGUGCAGGAGCUCCUGGAUAACGAGCUCCUGGACAACAAGAAGGAUGACUGACCCGGAGGAACAAGGGAGAGUGUGAGGAGAUGAAAGGAACUACAGUAUGUCAUCUGACCAGACUGGUGACCUACAUGCUCCAAGGAUGGGGCGGAACUCUGAUUGGCUGGUCUGGGGAGGAAGUGUUGAGAAUGUCUAGUUCCUGUUGGACAGUACUCACCCAGAACAGGCCUGGGGUCCUGGACAUUGCUGCGGGUGUCAUUCUUUUUUUUUUACACAAACUUUUAACUUCAGAGCCACCAGAUGUUUCUGUUGGAGCGGCCUUUCUUUGUCACAUUUGAUGUAUAGAGCUGAAUGUUGGAGACAGUGGUGUGAUGGAGAGGUGGUCAGUCUAUUGACUACACAUUAGGGGGCAUUUCAUUCAUCCUGAUAAAGGAGAUGAGGAAGACACUAUAUAGCACUAAAGUCAUGUCGACUUUUUCCCCCUGGUUCGUCUGUAUGAUUAGUGUACUUUUGGUACUUAUUUUAAUGAUUUUAUAGCUUUUUUUUUUACUUGCUGAUUAUCUCCAUUAAGUGAAAAGCACUUAAUCAAAUGUAUUAUUAGACUGAGAAGUCUUAGUGGCUGUACAUGGCUCAGUUCCUUGCACAUUGUAAAUUUGGUAUUGGCACUGACCCUGUUUAUAUAGCUUCCUCUUAUUUCUGAUGUUUUUCUUAAUUAUUAGUUAUGAUAUUGAGCACUGCACUGUUGGGUAGAGCUUACAAGUUAAGCAUUUCACUGUACUUUUGUGCCUGUGACAACUAACUUGUAAAGGUGAUAGUUUGAAAGGGUGCACAUCCAACUGUCACCAUAGGGAGGCAGCAAAGUGCCACCAAUUGGCCAGAAUGUGAAGUGGCUUCAGACAGAUCUUGCCUAUGUUGAACAUUUGAUGAAAAUAAACCAACACAUAAUUAAAACAAACCACACAUUCACAUGACUUUAGCGGUGAAGUCUUUAUUACAUGAUAACUCACUAGAUUAUUAUUCAAAGUAUAAUAAUGAAUGUCAAUAGUU